AUCGUCAUCUUCCCCAACCAACCAAACCGAUAUCAACGGAGAAAAGGAAGAAACAAUGGAUGCUAGUUCCUCUUCUCCAAAACGCUAGCCCUAGCUUCAGACAUCGCCACUUUCUCAGCCAUCGUCACUUCUUCUUCUUCUUCUUUACUGAAUUUCAUUAUAUCUCAUCAAUUAAUCUACUUAUGUUGUCAUCCCUUCUAUCGGUAAAAUGCAAGAAAACUGAGAAUUUUUAAUUUAUGCGGUGCUCAUUUUUUUAAUCUUUGUGCUUGCAUAUAGCCUUUGUCUACAAUUGGGUUUGCAUGAAGAGUGAAUAUGGGUAAUAAGAUACGAAAAAAUGCAUUUUUGUUUCAUUUUUUGAUUUUUUGGUGAUUGGAUAAACAGCUUGGUGGGUUUUUGAUUUCAAGAGCAAAAUCGAGAGAGCAAGCAGAGAGGUGGUUUCUGCGACUCGAACCUGUGACCACCAGGUCACAGUGGCAUAAGCUUACCGUUGUGCUCGGGCCGCCCUCAAUUAGUUUUAAAUAUUAUGUCAUAUUUCUGCUGUUAAUUUAGGAGGGGGUGGAGGUGAAGAUUCUACAACUGCCUGAAACUUUUUUUUUUUUGUCAAUCGAUAGAAGAGAUUAUUUACAUCAAAUAUGAAGUACAUAGUACAAAUCCGGGACAUUACAAACCCUCUAAGGGAAGAAGACCCACGUGGAAAGACUCGAACUCCUGACCUCCUAGUAAAAUGAAAGAGUCCUGACCAACUGAGCUCGCCCCAAUUGGUUAACGCCUGAAACUUAACAUGUGGCAUAUUUUUUAUUUUUCCGUUUCAAUCCAUAAACCUAUGCGCAAACCUACAACCUGUGAGAUAUGCAACAGAAAAUACUUGACAUCUAACAUAAGCACAAUACUCUUGUUUAGCUUUUCUGUUGGUAGUUCUGAGGCAGUCCUAAGAAGGGUUGAGCUUUUCCCAGCCUAAGCCGUUCUACUUUCCAGUUUAGAUUUGUGUAACUAGAAUUCCAAAUCUGUCAUUAGAAAAGACGUGUUUUCCCCUGCGGAAGCAGUUCUGCAUCUAUUCUUCCAAGAGUAGUGGCAUUCCCUUGUGCUUUUUUGAUGCUCUCAGUUGAUUUUGAACUGAAUGAAGAAUUCAGUGCUAGCUUGUUUGUCCAGAGGAAAAUAGGAUGAAGCAUUGAGCCAUUUACGCAAGAGGUUUGCUGACAGGUUACCAGAUAUUUGGGAGAAACUAGUGAUGCAGUGUCAGUUAGAAGUGCAGAUGUUCUCCGCCAAGAGUGAAGAAAAGAAGCAGUGCAUGGCUUGAAGGAAUUGCAGAGUAUAACUAGAGGGUCCAAAUUUCAUGAAAGCUCAAAAAACUGCAGUCAACAAAUUUCUACAUGCACUCAUCUGAUUUUGAGAGUCCUUGCUACGGAGAACAUGAUAUUUGACACUUUCAGGCAAAUUUUAUUUUCCCGUGGUGAGAAAUGGAACACAGCAUAGUCUCAAGUCGUUGUAUUACAGGUCCCACAGAAGCCCCUGUAAAUUCUAUGAGCACUGUAGAUCUGCGAAACAAGUUUAUGGAGUAAGUUGGAAACAGGGUGGUAUGUGGUUUUUCGCGGUGGUGAAUAGCGGCUGUAAAAAAAGGAAGAAGACUAUAGUAGACUUACAUAAUGAAAAGGUUUGGAGAGAUAUAUAAGAGAGGAGAGAAAGAACUGGUAAAAGGUUUUGAGAGGUUUUGGUUUUAUAGCCUUUAGGCAGAACAAGAAACCUAAGAACACAACUUCUGGACAAAACCGCGUUUGGAGCCAUUCGAUGUUUGUGGGUUCACGUGCAUCGAACGGCUCUUAAUGCAGUUGUGUUAUUGAUUGCUCUAGGCAGAAUGCAUCUUUUAUGGGAACAAAAGGAAAUCUAUUAGAACUGGGAAUCCUGCGAUAUUUUUUUUUUAUCUGCGGAAUCCUGCGACUUGGAAUCCUAAACCGCCUUUGUUUAGGAUUCUGUUCUCGAUUCCAACUUUCUUUUUCUUUAGAAGGCUUUCAUUGUUUGUUGGGUCAUGGUUCUUUCUAUUUUUGUCCACUAAUUACCCCUACGUGGGAAAAUGUAUGGGUGUUUUGCAUUAAAUCUAAACUCUUUGCGCGUGAACAUGGUAUUGAUCAGUUUCAAGAAUUGAGUAUUUCUAUAUCAA